rnacentral:rRNA from 1 species
UAGACGAACGCUGGCGGCGUGCUUAACACAUGCAAGUCGAGCGGUAAGGCCCUUCGGGGUACACGAGCGGCGAACGGGUGAGUAACACGUGGGUGAUCUGCCUUGCACUCUGGGAUAAGCCUGGGAAACUGGGUCUAAUACCGGAUAUGACCUUUGGUUGCAUGAUCAGGGGUGGAAAGAUUUAUCGGUGCAAGAUGAGCCCGCGGCCUAUCAGCUUGUUGGUGGGGUAAUGGCCUACCAAGGCGACGACGGGUAGCCGGCCUGAGAGGGCGACCGGCCACACUGGGACUGAGACACGGCCCAGACUCCUACGGGAGGCAGCAGUGGGGAAUAUUGCACAAUGGGCGGAAGCCUGAUGCAGCGACGCCGCGUGAGGGAUGACGGCCUUCGGGUUGUAAACCUCUUUCGACUCCGACGAAGCGAAAGUGACGGUAGGAGUAUAAGAAGCACCGGCCAACUACGUGCCAGCAGCCGCGGUAAUACGUAGGGUGCGAGCGUUGUCCGGAAUUACUGGGCGUAAAGAGCUUGUAGGCGGCUUGUCGCGUCGAUCGUGAAAACUCGGGGCUCAACCCCGAGCUUGCGGUCGAUACGGGCAGGCUUGAGUACUUCAGGGGAGACUGGAAUUCCUGGUGUAGCGGUGAAAUGCGCUAGAUAUCGAGGAGGAACACCGGUGGCGAAGGCGGGUCUCUGGGUC